GAUUUGACAGGCAAAACGAAAUUUGCUAAAUUGUGCUGGCAAGUGACACAUGGACGUAUUUGCUCUGCUAUUAAGUAUAUUGUUUAAAUGUUUUCUGAUGUAUCAUAUGCCACUAAACAUUAUUGAUUGGAAUGAAUGUCAGGUUUAAAAGAAUAUGAUGUACAUAAACUAUACAAAUAAUUUAUUUCUUAACAAUUUUUCAGUAGUGAACAUGGUAAAGAUCACAUUUAAUUUGUGUGACGUGAAACGAAGUCACAAAUCAACCAACGAGGCGAUAUACUUCUUAAUGUUUCUACAUAUAUGCAACUCUAUAGCAAAAUAAUACAACAUAUCGGAUAAUGUGUACUGGAAUAAAUUCGGAAGAUUGUUAUUAAAGAAGUAAAUUAAUGGCA